CCUACGGGAGGCAGCAGUGGGGAAUAUUGGACAAUGGAGGCAACUCUGAUCCAGCAAUGCCGCGUGUGUGAUGAAGGCCCUAGGGUUGUAAAGCACUUUCAACGGUGAAGAUGAUGACGGUAGCCGUAGAAGAAGCCCCGGCUAACUUCGUGCCAGCAGCCGCGGUAAUACGAAGGGGGCGAGCGUUAUUCGGAAUUAUUGGGCGUAAAGGGCUCGCAGGCUGCUUGAACAGUUAGACGUGAAAUCCCCGGGCUUAAUCUGGGAACUGCGUUUAAUACUAGCAAGCUAGAGAAAUAGAGAGGAAAGUGGAACUCCCAGUGUAGAGGUGAAAUUCGUAGAUAUUGGGAAGAACACCAGUGGCGAAAGCGACUUUCUGGCUAUUUUCUGACGCUGAGGAGCGAAAGCGUGGGGAGCAAACAGGAUUAGAUACCCUGGUAGUCCACGCCGUAAACGAUGUGUGCUAGAUGUUGGAGGGUUACCUUUCAGUGUCGCAGCUAACGCACUAAGCACACCGCCUGGGAAGUACGGUCGCAAGAUUAAAACUCAAAGGAAUGACGG
rnacentral:rRNA from 1 species